rnacentral:hammerhead_ribozyme from 1 species
AUCCAAUAGACCAGUCUCAAAUAAGAUGAAACGCUCGUCUUGGAU